UGCGCCUAUAGCUCAAUUGGUAGAGCGUCCGUCUUAUACACGGAAGGUUUCUUGGUUCGAGUCCAAGUGGGCGCAU
rnacentral:tRNA from 15 species